UACCAAGAGGAAAUUGCAAUUUAUUAUUUUUCUUAUUGUGGUAAAAUUCACAUGCAAUUAAAGGCCAAGAUCUCAAGUGCAAUUCAAUGAGCUUUGAAAAAUACAUAUACAGUGUAAUAAACACCGCAGUGAAAUCUUGUAAGCUUUGAAACCAGGUCUCAUAUGGGCUCACGUGCUCUGCUUGAGCUCCUCUUUCCUGUGUCACCAUCUAAAAAGUAUCCUUGGUCAGAAAGCUUAAUACCUCCUCUGAAGACUGAUAAUAUACAUCAUCUUCCUGGACCAGUCUACAAGUGAGGGACAGUGAAUAUUUUGAAUGGCAGCUUUUAGAUAACAAAUCCUCAAAGAGAGAUAGAGUCUUACUCAUCUCUAACAUGUGCUUGACUGUGGAAGACUGCCAAUUAAUAAUGAUUGAGUGAUUUGCUAAAUAAAUAAAAUCUCUGAACAUUGCAGUUAAUGUUAGAACCAGCACGAGGUUGCCUUCUAAUUCACGUGUCUCAUCAUUUCACUGAAGAUGUAUGGAACGCUUCCCCCUUUCAAAGUGUUAAGUACUUUGCUGUCAGCAUCACCAUCACAGCCUGCGAACUCGACACUAAAGAGAGAGAAGUGGAAAAGGCAAAUUUUGGAGAAAAUAAGCAGAAGGCAUGGGGACUGGAAGUUGUGAG
rnacentral:lncRNA from 1 species